CUGACAUUUGUAUUCGUUUUUUCACUGUUUUCGUUGGUUGUUCGUUAUUCCUACUAUUUUUUCAAAUUAUAAUUAAAAGUAGUUCCCUUCAGAACCCCAGAUUUAAAGUACACGCUAAGUAAAUCUACCGCGUAUGAGAAAAUGUAGUAAUAACCCGUGAAGUAAGUAUUAUCUUUUAAUUCAACAAGUUUAUUUUUAAUUAAUUCUUAUAUGAGAAAAUAAGGGWUGAGAGAUGGAACUAUAUCUGAGAGAUGGCUGUCAACAGUAGUUAAUGGACCAAAUGUAAAUGCUUUUAAAAAAGAAUUACUUACCAAAAAUAUUUGCAACCUCAGACUCAUUAAUAGCAAUAAAGCCAUCCAGCCAUCUUAAUCAAGACAUUUAAGAUUUUUUUAUUGUCUCUUGGAAAAACUGGUGGAAAUCAUACAAGACGGAUAAGGGACGCUCAAGAGGACUAAAAUUAGACUUCGACCGGAUUUCGUUGGUCCAAUUUUUACGGCGUAGUAGAAACCUUGAAGCAAGACUUCAAGAAUUGGGCCAACGCGCAUCCUGAAGCAAUAGAACCAGAGGACCCUCUCGCUGAUCCACCUCAUCCGGAACCCAUGGCGUUUGGUGCCCC